CACCACGGUGUGGUUCAUGACUGGGGUGAAGUCGUAACAAGGUAGCCGUAGGGGAACCUGCGGCUGGAUCACCUCCUUAC
rnacentral:rRNA from 1 species